GCCUUCUUUGAUAUUUUUGUCAAUCUUGUCGCCGAUAAACCGUUCCAUUUCAGCUCGAAACUGGUUUUGGGAUUCUACCACAAAGUUCCUCAAAUCGCUACCAUGGGCAUGGUUGUCGACUCCUUUGAGGCUAUACUGUUCUUGGAUCGGAUCUAGCUGGAUGUGUGAAAAAAGUGUGAAACGGCAUUGGUUGCAGUGGGGGACAAGUGAAUGAUCCUGCGUUCCCUACAGGGGUCUUAAGGAAACAGAAGGGGAAAGAACUACUAUAAACUGUCCCAUACUCUACGGUGAACUAAUCUGCGGCGCUAUUUCUCUAAUGGACUGUCCUCGACCUUGGAACAUGAUAACAACAUUUAACGUUUAACACAAAGCAAUGACAGAGUCGGCUCUUUCCAACUUCGACUCAGUCGAAGUUUGGGAGUCAAGGGUGUCAUUUUAUUUAGUAAUCAAAAAUCCAAGUUUCUUCACUCGCCAUCAUCCCAUCGACCUCUCAAUACAUCUUAACCGCCGUUCGUCAGUCAAGGACACCGAGGAAUCAUCCAGAAGCUUCUGAGACUCCUGUUCUUAAGAAACUCAGGACUCCGGAUUUCGGUUGUAUUGGCGACUGCCUGAAGAAAAAGGAUCUUUUUACGUCCCCCCGACUGUUGCUCCUGUAUCUCGAUCGCAAAUCUUCCAGUUUGCUUGGACCAGCUGAUGUCGUCGAGAAAGGAAAACAAUCUUUCUGCUGUUCGCCUACCGGUCAGACGAGGACUUCAAAAAGAUCUAUGGGAAGAGGAAAAUCCUGUUGGAGCCUGGUCACAGGACGCCAUCAGAUAUAUUGUGUGCUUUUGGGGGCAAACCCAAAGCCUCUGCGCUCCCACCCAACCGUAGCAGCCGUAGAUGUCUCCGACUUGAACCGGUCACCGGCUUCAGCUUCCCGUAAGGAAACCCAUCAACCACCGCCCGCCGGGUGCAACAGUCACACCAAGGCAUUUACGUAGACGGCGGAUCCCAGACCCGAGGAUAACACACGAACCUAUUCGACGCGGUCGCUGGAGAGGAUUCCCCGUGGGAUUAACAAGUGCUUGGCUUUGACGGUUUAAAUGUCAAGCCUCGCCCAGAAGGAGCGCUAAAUUGCAAAAACUAACAGAUACAAAUGUGAAAAAACACUCGCUGUGAAUUGUUCAC